rnacentral:rRNA from 1 species
UCAGGCCUAACACAUGCAAGUCGAGCGGACAGAUGGGAGCUUGCUCCCUGAUGUUAGCGGCGGACGGGUGAGUAACACGUGGGUAACCUGCCUGUAAGACUGGGAUAACUCCGGGAAACCGGGGCUAAUACCGGAUGGUUGUCUGAACCGCAUGGUUCAGACAUAAAAGGUGGCUUCGGCUACCACUUACAGAUGGACCCGCGGCGCAUUAGCUAGUUGGUGAGGUAACGGCUCACCAAGGCGACGAUGCGUAGCCGACCUGAGAGGGUGAUCGGCCACACUGGGACUGAGACACGGCCCAGACUCCUACGGGAGGCAGCAGUAGGGAAUCUUCCGCAAUGGACGAAAGUCUGACGGAGCAACGCCGCGUGAGUGAUGAAGGUUUUCGGAUCGUAAAGCUCUGUUGUUAGGGAAGAACAAGUGCCG